CGAGCAAACAGCGACAACUGCGAGCGCUGUGAGUGACCUUUUGCUUGCUGUGCCAUUUGUUUCGUGUUUUAAUAAUAAAACAUUGCAUAUUUUUGCAUAUUUGCAUUACUGAUUUGCGUUUUUAAUUUUGCUUUCUUGCAAUAUGCACCAACGACGUCGUUAAAUUUGGCUAUUGUCUUUGUUUUCAUAUGCUAGUUUUGUUCCGGUAAGGCUGCCGGAUCAGACACGAAAGCUUCGGAUAUAAAUAGUACCGAUGAGGCCAUGACCAUUUUAUACGGUUAAUAAAAUAUUUAAAAGCGUUCCUCUGUUUUACUCCUUGAUCGAGAAACGGAAUAAACUAACAUUCCUUCAGGUAAGCUUAAAACAAAUUAUUAUUUAUGCGAUUUACAAUGCGAGAAGGUGUAUAUGUUUAUACUAGAACGUUCUCUUGCGAUCUGCGCCGCACUAUAAGAC